AUUCCUGUGAUUUCAAAUACCAAAUUGAACUUCGUAUCUUUAUCUUAUAUGCAUAGCUAGAUUAGCUACUGUCAGUCAUCCCAACAAGUUGACUUCGCGCUCAAUCACUUCCUUCCAUUGGAUCCUCAUGCUGUCAAAAGCCUAAAACUCAUGUUAGAAGCCACACCAACCACACUACGUCAAAUGCCUUAUCCAUAUGAUAAAGCAUCAGGAAAUUUAUCCCACCUGAGGAGUAAUGUGUUUGGCUGCUGUAAUUCUAUUAUUACAAUUUUUCAUCAUGAACAAUUCAGUGUGCUUCUUAGAAAAGAGCACUAAAGAUCCCCACGAACAUCCUUGAGCCAAUGCUAGAUUUGUCCAUGACAGAAGAGGGACUUCCACCAACAUUCUGACUGCUCCAUCCUUAUCUUCAAGACGUACGCUCAUCUAGCUUUACUACUUGAGUGCUUCUUAUGAUGCUAGCCUGCUACACAACUUUUCUUGCUUCACUGGCGAGUUGGAUCACUUCAGUUGCUGUGACACACCUACAGUCACUCACCACGGGAUUAUGGCCAGAUAAUGCAGAAAAGACGUCGAAAAGAUGGACACCAAAACAUCUCCGGUAUCUCCAAAAUGUCAGCGCGGAUCAUCAUUUGUUGUUGGUAAUAUGUUUGUGUUCGUGUUAGUUAACCCGUUGGCUG